rnacentral:lncRNA from 1 species
AUCAAGAAGUGAAAUCAUAGAUCUAAAUGAAAAACUUACCAAAGAUGAUGAUCUAGGUGAAGAUCCUCUUGAAACUACACACCAAACACGAGAUUUUUGAUGGAAGAAGGAAGAGGUUUUUGAAAGAAAAAUGGAGGUGGUGAGAGGGUUUGGCCGAGAGUGUGGAGAGAAGAGAGAGAGAGAUCAUAAUCUUGUUAUUUGUGAGGUAAUACCUAGUCUUGAAACAUGAGAUUCUACCAUAGUUAUAUGGUGGUUAAACAUGAGUUGUCAUAUACAUGUUUAAUCUUCAUUUAUCCAUUCUUUCCCCUUUUUUUUAUUAUUUAUCUAUGGCCGAAAAUUGGGCUAGGGAGGUAAAAAAACAUUUACUUUGGGCCCAAUCUUGGUCUUUCCUUGAAAUCAUAAGGCCCAACAAUUUCUUUUCGGCUUAUUGAGCUCUUAAGGUGGUUUAUGACCCAAUAUGGCUUAAAAGAAUGGGUUAUGGUCCAUUAGGGCUAAUUUGAGUUGUUAUGGUCCAAUAGGCCCAUUAAAGGCAAACAAAAUUAUUUUAGGCCCAUUAUGGCCCAAAAUGUUAUGUUUCAUGAAGGUGGGUCCAAUUAGAGCCCAUUUAGGGUUCCUAGGCCCAAGAUGGUGAAGUUGGAGAUUUAUUGGUCCAUUAGACCCAAUAAGAGAAUCCUAGCCCAUAAUGAACUUGAUUUGGGAUUUCUAGGGUAUCCAGCCCUUAUUUUAACAUAUGAGAUAUAAAUGAAUGGGAAAAGAGUAUAUUAUUCAUUUAGAGUAUAGGCUUUUACAAUGGAUGAUGUUUAUAUGAGAUUAUAAUUUCCUAGCUAAAAAUGCUAGUUGUGACAUCACCCCCCCGUUAGAGGGAAUUUCGUCCCGAAAUUCUUUCGAAAGAUAGGUUCAUAAAUGAGAGAAUAGGUACUUCGUCUGAUCUUCGCGUUUCCAUGUGAAUUUCGGUCCACGCUUAGUGUUCCAUCGAACCUUCACAAUCAAAAUGUGGCUUUGUUUUGUACGCUUUACUUUCCUACCCAAUACUUCGACUGGUUCUUUGGCGAUUAGGAGAUUCUCGUUUAUUUCGAUUUCUUGUAAAGGAAUGAUAAGAGUCUCAUCUGAUAUGCAUCUUUUCAGAUUCGAGACGCGGAACACAGGGUGUACGUAGCUGAGCUCUACAGGCAGUUGCAGCCUAUAAGUCUUUGGACCAAUCCGAGCAAGAAUCUCGAACAGUCCGAUGUAUCGUGGGUUUCGUUUUCUUGGCUCCUAAAGCGAAUCAUACCUUUCCAAGGAGAUUCCUUUAAUAACAUGCGAUCCCCGACUUGACAUCCUAAUGGCUUACGUCGCUUGUCAGAAUAGCUCUUAUGUCGAUCUCGCGAUGUUUGAAGUCUAGCUUUGAUUUGGAUUAUUUUCUCUGUUGUUUCGCAAAUGGUUUCUGGUCUCAUAAGAAUACUGGCGAGUGAUCUGCAUUUAUGACUAUAAAGAGUUUCGAAAGGAGCAAUCUUGAUGCUCGAGCGAUAGUUGUUAUUGUAUGAGAAUUCAGUCAAGGGCAACCGGGUAUCCCAUGACUUGCUGAAUUCAAACACUCAGGCUCGGAGCAUGACUUCAAGUGGUCGAAUGGUUUGUUCACUUUGGCUAUUGGUUUGAAGGUGGUAAGCAACGCUUAUAUCUAGUUAUGUUCCCAUAGCCCUCUGAAGUGACUGUCAUAGUCUUGAAGAAAAUCUGUUAUCUCGAUCCGAGAUAGUAGAUACCGAUAUUUCAUGGAGUCUCACGAUCUCCUGGAUAUAGAUCCCAGCUAACCUUUUCGUCUUGUUUGAUUUCUGUGCUAGCAGGAAAUGGGCAGAUUGGGUUAACCUAUCGACGCUCACCCAGAUAACGCCCAACUCAACUCUUAUAACAAUAAGCUUCGUCUUUCGACUUCGAGAGUUUUGUCCAUCCUUGCAGUGCUUCCUCCGCGAUAUUCUCUGGCUUCAAUGCUUUCAAGGCUGGUCGUAAGUGUUGACAGUGUUUUGUUCUUGCUUCGCGAGCAGACGAGUAUGCUAUUGAUGAAAAUAAUGAAAGGGCUAACUAGGAAUGGUUGGGAAACUCGGUUAGUAAGGUUCAUGAAUACCGUGGGAGCAUUCGUUAGACCGAAGGGUAUCAUAAUGAAUUUGAAAUGGUCGUGACGAGUUCGGAAGGCAGUUUUUGGAAUGUCGUCUUCUCAGACUCGAAGUUGAUGAUAACCAGUUCUUAGAUCUAUUUUUAGAGAAGUAACUAGAUCCUUAGAGCUGGCCAAAUAGAUCGUCAGUCCGAGGGAGUGGGUAUCGAUUAUUGAUAGGGAGCUUAUUCAAUUUCCUAAAAUCGAUGAACCUUCUAAAGGAUCCGUCUUCUUGAAGAACAAGAUCAGAGCUCUUUAGGUAGAGAAGCUUGGUCUGAUGAAUCCUUUGCGCAACAAUUCUACUCAGUUGACUGGAUAACUUGUGAAUUUUCGGCGGGAGUCGACCUAUAGGGUGAAUUGGCAAUUGAUGUGGUUCCCGGUAUUAGGUCGAUUCGAAUUUCGACCUGUCUCUCGGGGUAUUCCCGGAAGUUCUCCAGGGAAUGCAUCCGGAAAAAUAGCAUGCUACUGGAAUACUUUGUAUGCUUACGUCUGCCUUGGUCUUGACCACAACAAGAGUGAGGAAAACGUAGUUCUUCUGGUGCAGGCACUUCUGUGCCUUGAUGCACGAGAUAGGAAGAGGAUUGGCACCAAGUUUAUCACCAUGGAUUAUUAGAGUUUUGUGAUUGGGAAGGUGAAGGCAAACGGCCCUCUCGCGACACAUAGUAUCAGCAUGGUAGGGGCUUAACCCAACCAUGCCGAUUAUCACAUCAAAACUCCUAAUAUUUACUGGCAUUAAAUUUUAUUUGAAAUGAAUGGUUGUUUAGUGUUAAGGUUUACUCCACAAAAAUAUCCUAUGUUAAUUUGGUUUUUCCUCAUUGGCCAUGUCCACCGUAAAGGCUUAGCUUAGCUUUGGGGUUAUUGUUUUAGUAAGUGCUCGAAUUUGUUACUAACGAAACUUCACUCAGCUUCACUAUUGAAUAAGGGGUAAGCGGAAGAGUUGUUNUACCAGUAACAACUGUCGGGUAUUGAUCUGCUUUGCCUUAACCCAAGGUCAGGACCAUUUCUGAUCCUUCUGCUCCUCGAUUGUUAUCCCUGGGGCAAUUGCGCCUGAUGUGACCAGUUCCUCCACACCUAUAGCAGGUGCGACUGGUCUCAUCAUUGGUGUUGUUGUUAGGGUUGUUGCGAUUGUUGUCGUUUUCAUUUGGCUGACGAUUCUGGCAUGGAUAAGUUCUACAGAAUUUGGCGAUGUGAUUCUUUCGGUUGCAUUUGUUACAAUGCAUCUCCCGGCAGGCUCCAUUAUGAUGGAAUUUGCACUGGUUGCAUUUUGGAAGGUUUCCAGCAUAUGGUCUCCUGGUUGCUGGUGUAAUAGGGGUCAUGGUCGCAUGAACAGCAACAACAUGUUGCUUCCUUGAGAACCCUUGAGUGUGUUUUCCCUUUCUCUUACUUCUAGAUCUCAGCUUCCUACUCUUAAGCUUGGGGUUUGGAGUUCCUUGAUUGGUUGUCACUUGUUGGUUUCCAUGUUCGUUCCUUUGGCUGGAGUUGUCAAUGCUAUUCCCGCCUCCAUUGGGGUUGUUUGCAGUGAUUUGCGCCAUUGCAACGGUUACUGCUGCCGUUACAGCAGCUUGGAAUGUAGCAGAGUCCAUCUGCAGGAGCGGUGUCUCGUGGGUGCGCUUGUUAUUCUUGCGGGAUGGCAUUUUCCUGCUGCACGUUGAUAAUCCAGAUCGUAAGUAAUGAUCGUCAUUUCUGGUUGUACUCUAUAAAUUUUGCAUCUUGUAUAAUUCUUACUGCCGCCAUCUACAUCCCUAUGAUGUAUUUACGGUAGUAGGUAAUCGCAGAUUUGGCACGAUCGUUACGUCUACCCUCAGAGGAUGUGGAUUGUUUCGGUUUCGAGAUCCUUAAGUACCAUCUUAGUACACGAAAGAGUGUCAUAUCGGUUGGUAAGGGGGGAAAAGAAAAGGUUGAUCCUAAUUGUGGCGGGAAGUGUCUGGUGGUGGUGCUGAUGAAGUUGAUGCACCUCGGAGACGAGCUACUUGUUGCUCGGUAUCUCGUAGUCGUACUUCCCAAACUAACUGUCUCGCUCGGGAGUCUCCGUUCACUUCCUUUGUUUGUCUCUUGUCUCUCUCAAUAGCAAACCGCAUUUGUUCCGUUCAAUUUGGGGUGUCCUGAGCUCGGUUAUCAAUGCCUCAGGUGCGCCGGACCAUGACUGGGAGAGCCCAGUCAGCUGGUCCUCUAUGGCUAAUGGUCGGAGAGACCUUGGUUCCUACCCUAGUGUGGUCGUAUCCCCUGCUGGUGACUCUAUCUCCAAAUUUCGUAAGCCCAAGGGGGCAUGGGGCCACCGGGGCCCACACGAUAAGUCGGUACUCUGGCUUUUCAUGGAUGAUUGAUGACAUCAGAUUCUGCAUCCGAGUCAUCAUCAUCAUUGCCCUUGGGCUCUUCCUCUUCGAGGUCCACUAUUGACUCAGCGGGUUCACCUGCGAGUUCUACUUCAUGUUCCUCAUGUGGUUCUUCCUCUGGGUCGAGCCACCCUACUAUUCCUCGACUAGGGAGAUAGGGUUUCCUGGCUAAUGAUACUUGUCUAUAGCGUAUUGCACGAAGGGCUAUGAAUACUAGAAACAAAUAGCAUACAAAUUACUCCUAUAAUUCUACAACUAUUGCAUAGAUUUUGUUGAGGUUCCCUUCUUGGAGAUUAAGGGGUAUGUUUUUAGAUUCCCUAGCUAUCACGAUUUCUUCUAGACAUGUGAUGGUUAUACCUUGGAGGGAAUGUAGUUGAUCAAGCUACAUCCAUCCCUUGAUACAACUAAGAACAGUCCUGGCUUAACCGAGAUACUAGUCUUAUCUUGUUUGGUUCGGUAUUAUGUUCUUUUUCCUAAUACAAGCAAGGGUGUUUUUAUUGUUAUGUUUUACUUGUUUUGUUCAGAGUUGUGUUAGUCCCUCUUUUGGUUUAUAGUUGCAUAUCAAUGUGUGGUUAGAUAUGCUAGUUCACUAUAAACAGAGCUCUGAUACCAACCUGUCACACCCCCGAACCAGACGGCGGAAACGUCCGAGGGCUAUUGUGNGUACAAUUAGUGACUCAAUUGAAUACCAUCGCAAUGAAUAUACAUGAAACAUAACAUCAUUCAUCACCAAGCAUUGAAAUAUUACAACUGGUAGUUUUUACAUUUGUACAUUGUUCCAUAACAUUACAUUCCCAAAAAGUAGAUUGUUCAAUACUAGUUAAACAGACAUCACUGAGUACAUUUUUCCCUUCGAUUUACCUGUUACCUGAGAAUACAAGUAUUUUGAAAAACGUCAACAUAUGAAAUGUUGGUGAGUUCAUAAGUAAUGUUUGAAAUACAAUGUUUUGUAUUGUUUUGAAAACCACCAGAAAAUCCGAUAUUUUCUGAAAAGAGUAUAGUAUAAAAAGUGUGAAGAUCCGUAAGUAUGCUUGUUUGUUUCUAUAAAUGUAAAAGUACAAUUUGUAAACUCGGUAUGCAUAUCGUAGGUGUAUUAAUUGAAAACCCUAGGAAAACCCGAUGUUUUCCUAAUACUAUGAAUCAAGUGUUUUAUAUUUUGUUAUACCGUUACGACGUGUGUAUUCGAUGAGUCCAGGUGACAUUGGAUUAAUUAUGGAUUGUGAAUUGUUAUAAACACGCAUUAAUGAAAACGACUAGUUUACAACUAUACAAACGAUCCCUUAGGCGUCGUUCGUACUAUUCACUUAAUCCAACCACCCUUACUUCUCAUAGCCCCACAACCGAGGAGAAAAAGAGGGUGCGAAGCCCCCGAUAUUUCCAUAAGUCGUUCAAGGCUAUCGUGAAUGCGAAGGGCCCUUAGCCCGACUCGCAUUUGGUGAAUUCUCGACUUUACUAGCAGUACCAGAGGACCCUUGGGGCCCAACAGCACAUAAGCCAUUGAAAGUCCUUUUACACGGAAUUAGGUCAUAUAAGACCCAACUACAUGUAAGCGAGUUUCCUUCGGGCCUAAAGAUCAUGUCAUUGGGCUAGCUAGGCCCAACAAGCACGAUUUGAAACUUUCGGGCCCAAAGACGGUGUAUCGACGUUUGGUGUAUUCCCACGUGUGUAUUGACAUCCCGAAAUUUCCGCGUGUGUAUUGAAUUCCCGAGGUUUCCGCGUGUGUAUUGAAGUAUCGUCGUGUUAUUAAUUUCGGAUUCGUUAUUGAUUCGAGACCGAAUCAAUUCGUUUGAUAACGAAUUUUGGUGUUGAAGGUGUAUUAUAUUUCGCCGAUAGUCGAGGUACUAGUAUUUCAUCAUGUCGGAUUUAUUGUUUAAAACAUUAGAGUUUUACUUUUUGCAGCCCCUUUCUUUUGGAUCAAUUUACACUUUUGACCCUUUGUAUAAAAGAAUUUCUAUUUUAGUCCUUAAACCAUUUUUCUUGACACUUUAGUAUCAAAACUUUGUAGAAAAAGGUAUUUUCAGCUCAAAAUUAUUUGAAAAACAGUUUUAGUCCCUCAAAAUGAAUUUUUCUCGGCUGGAACCUUUAUUUUUGCAAGUUUUACACUUUUGGCCCAAAAUAGAAAAUUUUUGCAUCUUUGGUCCCUUUUAAAUAUGAAAAGUAUUUUUAACCCUUGAAAAGGACUUGGAGCACUAGUAGUCCCCUGUUUUGCAGAAAGAUACAGUUUCAGCCCCUCUAAUUUGAAAAUCUCGCAUUUUGGGCCUUAUUGGGCCGAAAAGUUCAUUUUUGGCCCAUUAUGCUUAAAAUUUCACAUUUUGAUCCUUCAAAAGAGUAUAUUUCUAUAAAAUACAUUGUUGAAACUGUUUUGACUCAUCUCAACCAUCAGAGUUUGUAUUUUGUCAUUUUGGGCCCUUUAACCUUAUAUUUUUAACAUUUUGAGUCCAAAAAUGGGAUUUUUAGCCCAAAGAGUUCAUAUUAACCAACUUGGUUAUUUUUCUAGAGUUGAUUUGUAUGAAAUAAUAUGAUUUAUACUUAUUUCAUUCAACCUAAGGUAGAUCUCGGGUUUUGAGUUCUUUUUGACUAGAUCCAACACCAUAAUCACAUAAGAACAUGUAAAUAAACAUAGAAAUCACACAAAGCAUACAUAUACUCAUAGAUCUACACAUUUGCUUGUAUUCUCCCCCCACAAAACUUAUAAAAACCGAAAAAUAGGGGGUAUGAAGCUCACCUUGGGGUUUGGAAGUCGGUUUUGAUGAAGAAGUGAAGAGAUCUCGACCCUAGAUGUGUUAUGGAGAUGAUUUUUCGAGCUCUAUGGUGCUAUAAGAGUAUGAUUCACGAAAGUAUGGUGUAAGAGGAGAUUUUUGAAUAGAUUAAGAAGUGAAAUCAUAGAUCUAAAUGAAAAAACUUACCAAAGAUGACGAUCUAGGUGAGGAUCCUCUUGAAACUACACACCAAACUUGAGAUUUUUGAUGGAAGAAGGAAGAGGUUUUUGAGAGUGUUUGAGAGAGUUUUUGAAAGAAAAAUGGAGGUGGUGAGAGGGUUUGGCCGAGAGUAUGGAGAGAAGAGAGAGAGAGAUCAUAAUCUUGUUAUUUGUGAGGUAAUACCUAGUCUUGAAACAUGAGAUUCUACCAUAGUUAUAUGGUGGUUAAACAUGAGUUGUC